AGCGAACGCUGGCGGCAGGCUUAACACAUGCAAGUCGAACGGGCUUCUUCGGAAGUCAGUGGCAGACGGGUGAGUAACACGUGGGAACGUGCCCUUCGGUUCGGAAUAACUCAGGGAAACUUGAGCUAAUACCGGAUACGCCCUUCUGGGGAAAGGUUUACUGCCGAAGGAUCGGCCCGCGUCUGAUUAGCUUGUUGGUGGGGUAACGGCCUACCAAGGCGACGAUCAGUAGCUGGUCUGAGAGGAUGAUCAGCCACACUGGGACUGAGACACGGCCCAGACUCCUACGGGGGGCAGCAGUGGGGAAUAUUGGACAAUGGGCGCAAGCCUGAUCCAGCCAUGCCGCGUGAGUGAUGAAGGCCUUAGGGUUGUAAAGCUCUUUUGUCCGGGACGAUAAUGACGGUACCGGAAGAAUAAGCCCCGGCUAACUUCGUG
rnacentral:rRNA from 1 species